UUUCAAAGGUCCACCGCACAGAGGAAAGUCCGGGCACCAAAGGAUCAGGAUGGUUCCUAACGGGAACGGCCCUUCCUAUAACCAAGGGAAAGGGUACGGAAAGUACCACAGAGACUAUACUAGGUUGCACCUGCAUUCGCAGCUAUGUAACUGAAAGGUGAAAAGGUCCGUCCAGCGGAUCGUUUCCCGGCGACGGGAAAACGUGGUAAACCCCAUCUGGUGCAAGGCGGGAUGGCGAAACGGAACAAGCUUUGUCCAUUAAGCCCGUUCUCGCCCGCCGCAUGAGCCUGCCGGCAACGGCACGGCCUAGAUAGAUGGUCAUCCCCUGCCCCUGGCAACAGGAAAGCGGGGACAAAACCCGGCUUAUAGUCUGUGGGGCCAC
rnacentral:RNase_P_RNA from 1 species